rnacentral:rRNA from 1 species
GACGAACGCUGGCGGCGUGCUUAACACAUGCAAGUGGAGCGACGAACCAGGCUUCGGCCUGGGGCAGAGCCGCGAACGGGUGAGUAACACGUGGGUAACCUGCCUCGAUGACCGGGACAACCCGGGGAAACCCGGGCUAAUACCGGAUGUGCUGCCUUCACAUCAGUGGAGACAGGAAAGGAAGCUUCGGCCUCCGCAUCGAGAUGGGGCCCCGCGGCCCAUUAGCUUGUUGGUGAGGUAAUGGCUCACCAAGGCCGCGAUGGGUAGCUGGUCUGAGAGGACGAUCAGCCACACUGGGACUGAGACACGGCCCAGACUCCUACGGGAGGCAGCAGUGGGAAUCUUGCGCAAUGCGCGAAAGCGUGACGCAGCAACGCCGCGUGGGGGAA